rnacentral:rRNA from 1 species
CAGCCGCCACGGUAAUACGAAGGGGGCUAGCGUUGUUCGGAAUUACUGGGCGUAAAGGGCGCGUAGGCGGCCAUUCAAGUUAGAUGUGAAAGCCCUGGGCUCAACCUAGGAAUUGCAUUUGAUACUGUUUGGCUUGAGUUCGGGAGAGGUGAGUGGAAUUCCCAGUGUAGAGGUGAAAUUCGUAGAUAUUGGGAAGAACACCAGUGGCGAAGGCGGCCCACUGGACCGACACUGACGCUGAGGCGCGAAAGCGUGGGGAGCAAACAGGAUUAGAUACCCCUGUAGUCCCUGUCUCUUAUAC